CCUACGGGAGGCAGCAGUGGGGAAUAUUGCACAAUGGGGGAAACCCUGAUGCAGCGACGCCGCGUGAGUGAAGAAGUAAUUCUUUAUGUAAAGCUCUAUCAGCAGGGAAGAAAAUGACGGUACCUGAGUAAGAAGCCCCGGCUAACGACGUGCCAGAAGCCGCGGUAAUACGUAGGGGGCAAGCGUUAUCCGGAUUUACGGGUGGAAAAGGGAGCGUAGACGGUCCUGCAAGCCAGAUGUGAAAGCCCGGGGCUCAACCCCGGGACUGCAUUUGGAACUGGAAGGCUAGAGUGUCGGAGAGGCAGGCGGAAUUCCGGGUGUAGCGGUGAAAUGCGUAGAUAUUAGGAGGAACACCAGUGGCGAAGGCGGCCUGCUGGACGAUGACUGACGUUGAGGUUCGAAAGCGUGGGGAGCAAACAGGAUUAGAUACCCCGGUAGUC
rnacentral:rRNA from 1 species